rnacentral:lncRNA from 1 species
GAGCAUCUACUGCUAAUGAUGCAGAUGCCCAGGGAGCCAAGGCAAUCAGAUUUGAUUGUGAGGUUCCAGGUUCCUUUGAAGAACCAAACAUGGGUCACUGACUUAUGGAUUUUUUCUCCAGUGCUCACUGAGACGCAUUCAUUCUGCUUCAAAAUGGCAUCAGUCACGGGAAGGUUAAAGGACUCUUCCAGGCUUCACAGGGCAGCCUUUUAUUUCUGCUCCUGGGAGGUAGGGAUUGGAUGUGGCCCAGGAAGACUACUUUGCCUCAGGUUUUCUCUCAAGAGGCCUCUAAGCAGUCCUUCAGUGAACUCCACCCCAAGGCUGAAACCCAACGUCUUCCCUCAGGAGCUCGAGGCUCUUGGCUGAUCACAGGUGGGAAACACACCUACAGGAUAUACGUCAUCACUGACAGAAGAAAAAAGCAGUGAAAGACACUGGAGUCCAGCAUGCCUGAAGGCCAACAUUUCUAAACCCCCUCCUUACUGCCCAUUUUCCC